rnacentral:rRNA from 1 species
UACGGAGGGAGCUAGCGUUGUUCGGAAUUACUGGGCGUAAAGCGCGCGUAGGCGGCUUUGUAAGUUAGAGGUGAAAGCCCGGGGCUCAACCCCGGAACUGCCUUUAAAACUGCAUCGCUUGAAUCCGGGAGAGGUGAGUGGAAUUCCGAGUGUAGAGGUGAAAUUCGUAGAUAUUCGGAGGAACACCAGUGGCGAAGGCGGCUCACUGGUCCAUUACUGACGCUGAGGUGCGAAAGCGUGGGGAGCAAACAGGG